rnacentral:tRNA from 1 species
GGCGACGUGGCCGAGUGGCUUAGGCAACGGCCUGCAAAGCCGUCUACCCGGGUUCGAUUCCCGGCGUCGCCU